AUGCCAGUUAUGUGUGUAUAUGUUAAAAUUGGAAAGACACAGAGAAGAUUAGCAUGACUCCUGCACAAGGAAGACACACAAAUUCAUGAAGUGUUCCAUAUUUCU